rnacentral:lncRNA from 7 species
AUUCUCAACAACAACACAACCAACUAGCCCUCCAACAUGUCUGAAGGGGGACCUUUUCCUAGUAACAGUACUAUCUACAUGUCAUAACCCUGCAUCUUUAUUCCUUCUGCUUCUCUUGCUGUCCCUUUUGUUUUCUUUCUUUUUUUUUCUUUUUUGCCAAAUGAGGGUGUAAGGCUGAUCGCAGGGACAAGGUGAAUCUGACGCCUGGAGUACGGGAAGAAAAUGGCAGGAUAUACAACAUGUUGUCUGGUUUCAGGGAGCAACAACUCGGUGCCACUGCUGCGGUUCAGCACAGACCAUUCAUCGGUAAUUUUGCCUGGUGAUCAAGUGCGGCGUUGACAGUCACCUCUCAGUUCAUACUACAGUGUACCGCCAUCAACAUUCAACUGGACAGUGGGGGGAAGUCUCUGCUGUCCUUGAGGCGAUAUGAUUGAGCGCCAUCCCUGUGAAUUGUACAGUGCAGGGUCAGACGUUGUAAUAAACGCAGUAAACUCAGCACAAAACAUGAUCUAGAUGUGUAUUUAUCAAGUACAUCAGU